UGGAAAGAUGAAUCAAAGAAGGUAAUAAUCCUGUAGUCGAAAAUGUUGUCUCUCUUGAGUGGAUCCUGAGUACGACGGAGCACGUGAAAUUCCGUCGGAAUCUGGGAGGACCAUCUCCUAAGGCUAAAUACUCUCUAGUGACCGAUAGUGAACCAGUACCGUGAGGGAAAGGUGAAAAGCACCCCGGAAGGGGAGUGAAAUAGAACCUGAAACCGUGUGCUUACAAGUAGUCAGAGCCCGUUAAUGGGUGAUGGCGUGCCUUUUGUAGAAUGAACCGGCGAGUUACGAUUUGAUGCAAGGUUAAGCAGUAAAUGUGGAGCCGUAGCGAAAGCGAGUCUGAAUAGGGCGUUUAGUAUUUGGUCGUAGACCCGAAACCAGGUGAUCUACCCUUGGUCAGGUUGAAGUUCAGGUAACACUGAAUGGAGGACCGAACCGACUUACGUUGAAAAGUGAGCGGAUGAACUGAGGGUAGCGGAGAAAUUCCAAUCGAACCUGGAGAUAGCUGGUUCUCUCCGAAAUAGCUUUAGGGCUAGCCUCAAGUGAUGAUUAUUGGAGGUAGAGCACUGUUUGGACGAGGGGCCCCUCUCGGGUUACCGAAUUCAGACAAACUCCGAAUGCCAA
rnacentral:rRNA from 1 species